ACUGGAGGAGAUACAUGCAUAUCGUUCACUCAUGGUAGUCAUGUAAACAUCUUCGGCGCCGGUGAGCCGAUCCUAAGAGAUGCUGGGCGGUUUGGGGCGUGGGGUUCGUCCUCACGUUUUGUAUACAGCCUAGUGUAUCGAAAGGAAAUCAGGUUAAUAUUCCUGAACCGAGACGUGGAUCAUGUGUGGCAACACAACCGACCCAGGAGACGAUAGCGUGUGUCCUAGGAAGAGUUCUCUUUUCUUUUUAACAAGCAUGUCGUGCCUUGAAACGGAUUAUCCGGUGAUAAGGAGGACGCCUUGGCAAAACACUUUACUUUUUGAAAUGUCCUGUGCGCCCACGACAGCCCUUGAAAAUCCUGGCUAGAGAUUUAUUCGCACCCUCGUCCGUGCUCAUAACCGUAUCAGGUCUCCAAGGUUAGCAGCUUCUAGU
rnacentral:ncRNA from 1 species